rnacentral:rRNA from 1 species
UCGACCUCAGAUCAGGUGGGACUCCCCGCCGAAUUUAAGCAUAUUAGUAAGCGGAGGAAAAGAAACUAACGAGGAUUCCCCCAGUAGCUGCGAGCGAAGAGGGAAGAGCCCAGCACUGAAUCCCAAAGGCUUCGCCUUUAGGGAGAUGUGGUGUUUAGGAGUGCCCGAUUAACCCGGGGUCCGUGCACCGCGUUCAAGUCCAUCUUGAACGGGGCCACGGUCCGUAGAGGGUGCCAGGCCCGUAGUUGACCGGUGCCGGCCCCGGGUGGGUUCCUCCUUAGAGUCGGGCUGCUUGAGAGUGCAGCCCUAAGAGGGUGGUAAACUCCAUCUAAGGCUAA